CUUUAACCUGAUUUCAACACAAGUCGAAGCUCAGCCCUGGUGUUGUGUGAAUAUUUCCAAGUUUCAUCUCGCUCGUUGAGAAUCCGUGGAUAAAUUUGAGAGUGUUGACAUGAAUGAUCAUCGUGAUCAUAUCUUCGCAUGGAUGAAAGAGUUAUGGAAUAAAUGGAGAGAACACUUGCAUGCAAAAUAUGUGAAAGAUAAGCCAAUCCAACAGGCUCUUAAGAAUAUUCCAAACGGAGUAGACAAGAAAGAAUGAGAGUGGUUAGUAAAGGAAUAUUUUUCUUCAGAAGGUUUUCAGGCGAGAAUCAACAGGAAUGCGGCAAAUCGAGUUAAGUUGAAGAUGCUUCAUCAUAUUGGUAGUAAGCCUAUUCGUGAGAUCAUUUAUCAAAAGGGCGGAAAAGAUGGCAACCCACCGGAUUUGGCAAUAAUUUUCUUUGAGACCCGUAAGAAAAACAACAAGCUUGUUGAACCUGAAGCAAUUGAAAAACAUGCUCAAAUCGAAGAAAUAAUUCAAGAAGAUCCAUCUCUACCUAGCAUAGAGAUUGUAGAAAAAUGUUGUGGACCUCAAACUCGUAGCCAUGUGUUUGGCUUUGGGGGUGGAGUGAAGGCGAAAGACUUGAAAGGUGGAACUUCUUCAAAGGCUCAAUUACUGUCCGAGCUACGUUCAACUCGAGAAGAAAAUAAAUCUUUGAAUGAGGAAAAUAAAUCCUUGAAUGAGCGCUUGUCUACCUUAGAAGAUGAGAUGAAAGAAAUGAGGAAAAUGAGAGAGUACUUUGCUGCUCAACAAUCACAUGUCCCGCUUACAACGACAUCGCCCGUUUCAACUAAAUGACCUCUGAUUUUGUCUGCUGACCAACCUUGUUGAUGUUGUUGGAUAACACCUUGUGAAUUUAGACUGCUUUUGGGGUUUUGAAGAUUGAAGCUACAAGUCAAGAUACAAGUUUAGAAGAUGCACAAGCUAUUAUUAUUUUGCUAAAAAUGUUAUGCAAAACUUGAUAUCAUAGUCUACCUCAGGAUGUUAGCUACGUUUUUUUUGUUGAGGUGUUGAGAAAACAUAGAAAGUAACAUCAUCAUGGGAUAUGAACUUGAUAUAUUAUCUUUUUAUAUCUGGAUUUUUCAAUACCAAUUUGAUAUUUAUUGAUAAA